UACGGAGGGAGCUAGCGUUGUUCGGAAUUACUGGGCGUAAAGCGCGCGUAGGCGGUGACUCAAGUCAGAGGUGAAAGCCCGGGGCUCAACCCCCGGAACGUAGCCUUUGUAAACUAAGGUCGCUAGAAUCUUGGAGAGGUCAGUGGAAUUCCGAGUGUAGAGGUGGAAAUUACGUAGAUAUUCGGAAGAACACCAGUGGCGAAGGCGACUGACUGGACAAGUAUUGACGCUGAGGUGCGAAAGUAGUGGGGAGCAAACAGGAUUAGAUACCCGCGUAGU
rnacentral:rRNA from 1 species